AUUGAACGCUGGCGGCAUGCCUUACACAUGCAAGUCGAACGGUAACGCGGGGCAACCUGGCGACGAGUGGCGAACGGGUGAGUAAUGUAUCGGAACGUGCCCAGUUGUGGGGGAUAACUGCUCGAAAGAGCAGCUAAUACCGCAUACGACCUGAGGGUGAAAGCGGGGGAUCGCAAGACCUCGCGCAAUUGGAGCGGCCGAUAGCAGAUUAGGUAGUUGGUGGGGUAAAGGCUCACCAAGCCGACGAUCUGUAGCUGGUCUGAGAGGACGACCAGCCACACGGGGAAUUAGACACGGCCCAGACUCCUACGGGAGGCAGCAGUGGGGAAUUUUGGGCAAUGGACGCAAGUCUGAUCCAGCCAUGCCGCGUGCGGGAAGAAGGCCUUCGGGUUGUAAACCGCUUUUGUCAGGGAAGAAACGCUCUGGGUUAAUACCUCGGGGUAAUGACGGUACCUGAAGAAUAAGCACCGGCUAACUACGUGCCAGCCGCCGCCGUAA
rnacentral:rRNA from 1 species